CCCCGGGGAAUCCCUGCCCGGCUCCGCCGUGACGUCAGCGCGUUUGUGCGUCACGUCCGGCGGCGCACUCGGAAGUGGCGCGGGGCCGGUUGCCAUGGGACGGCCCGGGAGGAGCAGAGCGGGGAUGGCUCGGGAAGGGUCGGGUGUUCCCUGUCCCUGUGACGGCAGCGGCUGAGGCUGCACUGCCCGCGGCUCCUGCGCUGCACCAGCCCAAAAUGGGGAGGAUCAGCAUCUCGUGCCUGCUGCCGGCCUCGUGGCAUUUCAGCCUGUCGCCCUCGGGGUGCCCGCGGCUCCUGAACGCGUCCCUGCGGCAACUGCUGCUGCUCGGGGCGGCCACGGCCACGCUGCUGCUCUGCUCUGUGCUGCUGCUGCGGGCAAAGUACGGCCGGGGUGCCCGGGACAGGAGUGUCAGGUAUGGGACAGGGACAUCAACAGGUAUGGGAUAGGGACAGGAGUGUCAACAGGUAUGGGAUAGGGACAUCAACAGGUAUGGGAUAGGGACAGGAGUGU